GCUCCUGAGUAUCCCGGUCGGGUGAGGGGUAAGGGUCAUGGUGUGACUCCAACCUCUUUUUACAAGAGUCCUAGGAGAAGAAAUCCUUCAAAUGAAGAAGUGUUGCAAAAGUUGGCGGAAUUGCAAGCACAAGUCUCUGAAUUGCAAAGAGAUAAAGAAGCGUAUAUGAGAGAAAAGUGCAACACUUCAUCGGUGAAAGAAACUAGUGAUAAGGCUAGUAUCAACUAUCAAAGGAAAUUUCCCGAGGGCAUUUCAUCUUGCCAACUAUACUUAUCGGAACCGAAUUAUCGACUAGUUGGCAAGGGAAAAGUGCACAACACUUUGGGAGAUUUACUUCACCAUAGACCGCUCCCGGAUGGACACCUGAAAGUAUCGGUGGAUGUUGUAGUAGAUCAUGAUGCGAUGCUACCGGUACCUGACAUGGUCUCAGAGACGACAUUGCUGCGAGAUGCAAUAGGAUCAUUUGUUGCAUGGCCCUCGGAGCUCAUUACCAUUAGUGAUGAGGUAUAUUGAAAACGAUUAUGAAUCAUUUAGUUUUCGAAUGUCAAUUCUAAACUGUUUAUUAAUUAUUUUUUACAUUUUAAUUUUAGACUGCUCCUAUAAAACCCACAGUUAAGGGUAAAGGGAUUUUACAGGAGGAGGAGUCCGUUGCAUCACUAAAAGAGGCAUCCGCUCGGGAGUCACAACAAGUGACGCAGCAAGUUCGUACCGUACCACCCACUGGUCCUCCGAAGCCAGCGGGAAAAAAAGGCGGUGCUUUUGUGCCUCGGUACCGGUCGACGCUCGCAACAAUGGUUGAUAUGUCCGAUUUGAAGGAUGGUGCUUUACGUGAAAUCGUUAUGGAUGAAAGUGUCUUCGGUAUUGAAUUCAAGUCACUUAUUACAAUUGAUGACUUGGAGGAGAUUUUUAAGCAUGAUCAACUAGGCGUCACUAACAUGCACUCAUACAUCCGGUUGUUGUAUGACAGAGUGUUGCGCGGGAC